AUUGAACGCUGGCGGCAUGCCCUACACAUGCAAGUCGAACGGCAGCAUGAUCUAGCUUGCUAGAUUGAUGGCGGGUGGCGAACGGGUGAGUCAUACAUCGGAACGUGCCCUGUAGUGGGGGAUAACUAGUCGAAAGAUUAACUAAUACCGCAUACGACCUGAGGGGGAAAGGGGGGGGGCGCAAGGCCUCAUGCUAUAGGAGCGGCCGAUGUCUGAUUAGCUAGUUGGUGAGGUAAAGGCUCACCAAGGCGACGAUCAGUAGCUGGUCUGAGAGGACGAUCAGCCACACUGGGACUGAGACACGGCCCAGACUCCUACGGGAGGCAGCAGUGGGGAAUUUUGGACAAUGGGCGAAAGCCUGAUCCAGCAAUGCCGCGUGUGUGAAGAAGGCCUUCGGGUUGUAAAGCACUUUUGUCCGGAAAGAAAUGGCUCUGGUUAAUACCUGGGGUCGAUGACGGUACCGGAAGAAUAAGGACCGGCUAACUACGUG
rnacentral:rRNA from 1 species